CUCGUGAUCCACCCGCCUCGGCCUUCCAAAGUGCUGGGAUUACAGGCCUGAGCCACCAUGCCCGGCUGGCACUUAAUACUUUGAGUUUACUUGUUUGGUACUGAUUGUCCCUGCCAGUAGAAAGGAAGCUCCGUAAGGUCAGGGACCCCCGUCUCGUUCCAUGUCUAGCCCAGUGCCUGGCCCAUGUGGACCUCAGCAACUGUGGUGGAUGCUGCGAUGAGAGGCCCCGGGAGACCCCUCCAGUGACAGGCUGGGUGUCCCAGUUGUUCAGGGUGUGGUAAGCGGCCUUCAGCCAUCAGCUGCAACUCGCCAGGGUCACACCCUUCCCUGGGACAGCCCACAUUGCAAAGUCCUGGACAUCCUGGUCCAACCGAGGACAGCCCUGAGGACCACUUCUGUGGCAGAGCUCCCUGUGGGGGACCAGUAGCCGCUGUGCUUGAUGGCAUCACAGCCCCACUCCUGCCUCUUGUGUCUUCCCCUCCACAGGUCCAACAUCACUCCGUGAAAGUCUGCUCCCCACCUAGGAGCCCCCUCGAGCCACAGCAGCCUUGCCAGCUGGAGAAGGACCCGAGACGUGCAGAUGGGAGUUGUGGCAGUAGUGGCCAUCUUGAGGGACAGACACCGGGAGAAAACGAGUGAUGCGUGCAAGGAGGGGCAUCGCUGAGCCCACACAAGACUCAAGAUGGAUGAGACAGAGGCGGCCUCAGGUGCCUGCAGGUGGAGAGAGAAGCACUGGGAAGCCUGAAGGAGCAUGAGAAAGACUGUUGCUGUAAGACACGGCGCUAUCUAUGGCCUGAAUAUUUGUUAUCUGUUGAAAUCCUAACCCCGAAGGUGAUGGUAUGAGGAGGUGAGGACUUUGGGAUGGGAUGACUGCUCUCAUAAAGGAGGCUAGAGAAAGGCUCCUGGCCCUUUCCAGCAGGCGAGGACACAGAUGCCAUCUUGAACCAGGAAGUGGCCACACCAGACACGGAAUCUGCCAGCACCUGGUUCCUGCACUUCCCAACCUCCAGAUCUGUGAGAAAUAAAUUUCUGUUGUUUACAGCCAUCCACUCUGUGCUUCAGAGACCUGAACAGACUAAGACAGAUGGUGAGCAGCGCUCUAUAAAGGUGGUGAUUAUAAAGUGAAAUUAAACAUUAUAUAUAAAAAUCCAUGACUGGCUGGGUGCAGUGGUUCACACCUGUAAUCCCAACA
rnacentral:lncRNA from 1 species